rnacentral:rRNA from 1 species
UACGGAGGGGGCUAGCGUUGUUCGGAAUUACUGGGCGUAAAGCGCGCGUAGGCGGCUUUGUAAGUUAGAGGUGAAAGCCCGAAGCUCAACUUCGGAAUUGCCUUUAAGACUGCAUCGCUUGAAUCCAGGAGAGGUGAGUGGAAUUCCGAGUGUAGAGGUGAAAUUCGUAGAUAUUCGGAAGAACACCAGUGGCGAAGGCGGCUCACUGGACUGGUAUUGACGCUGAGGUGCGAAAGCGUGGGGAGCAAACAGG